rnacentral:rRNA from 1 species
GAGUUUUCUUGGCUCAGAUUGAACGCUGGCGGCAUGCCUUACACAUGCAAGUCGAACGGCAGCAUGAUCUAGCUUGCUAGAUUGAUGGCGAGUGGCGAACGGGUGAGUAAUACAUCGGAACGUGCCCUGUAGUGGGGGAUAACUAGUCGAAAGAUUAGCUAAUACCGCAUACGACCUGAGGGUGAAAGUGGGGGACCGCAAGGCCUCAUGCUAUAGGAGCGGCCGAUGUCUGAUUAGCUAGUUGGUGGGGUAAAGGCCCACCAAGGCGACGACCAGUAGCUGGUCUGAGAGGACGAUCAGCCACACUGGGACUGAGACACGGCCUAGACUCCUACGGGAGGCAGCAGUGGGGAAUUUUGGACAAUGGGCGAAAGCCUGAUCCAGCAAUGCCGCGUGUG